GUGAAGCGGCAACAGCUCAAAUUUGAAAUCUGGCCCCUAGGGUCCGAGUUGUAAUUUGUAGAGGAUGCUUUUGGCGCGGUGCCUUCUGAGUUCCCUGGAACGGGACGCCACAGAGGGUGAGAGCCCCGUAUAGUCGGACACCAAGCCUCUGUAAAGCUCCUUCGACGAGUCGAGUAGUUUGGGAAUGCUGCUCAAAAUGGGAGGUAAAUCUCUUCUAAAGCUAAAUACAGGCUAGAGACCGAUAGCGCACAAGUAGAGUGAUCGAAAGAUGAAAAGCACUUUGAAAAGAGGGUUAAAAAGCACGUGAAAUUGUUGAAAGGGAAGCGCUCGUGACCAGACUUGCGCCCGGUUGAUCAUCCAGCGUUCUCGCUGGUGCACUCUGCCGGGCUCAGGCCAGCAUCGGUUCUUGCGGGGGGAUAAAAGCUGUGGGAAUGUAGCUCCCUCGGGAGUGUUAUAGCCCGCUGCAGAAUACCCCCGCGGGGACCGAGGUACGCGUUCCGCAAGGAUGCUGGCGUAAUGGUCACCAGCGACCCGUCUUGAAACACGGACCAAGGAGUCAAGCAUUAGGGCGAGUGUUUGGGUGUCAAACCCGCACGCGAAAUGAAAGUGAAUGUAGGUGAGAGCUUCGGCGCAUCAUCGACCGAUCCUGAAGUAUUCGGAUGGAUU
rnacentral:rRNA from 1 species